rnacentral:lncRNA from 1 species
UUUUACUAUUAAUUUCAUUAGGCAUAGUAUUAUCAUUGUCUUAAAUGUUAUUAUUAUUAGUAUUAAAAGAAAAAAAAAAGUAAGAAAAAAGAAUUAUGUUAUCAUUAUUACUAUUAUUAAAUUGAAUAAUUAUUUUUGAUAUUAUUAUUAUUAAUUUAAAUUAUAGUCAUUUAUUAUUAUUAUUAUUAUGCUAUUUAACCAAUAAAUAUCCCAAAUAUAAAAAAAUAAUAGUACAAGAUCUUGCAAUAAAAAAUAAUAUUUUUU